rnacentral:rRNA from 1 species
UACAUGGGGUGCAAACGUUGCUCGGAAUUAUUGGGCGUAAAGCGCACGUAGGCGGUUCGUUAAGUCGGAUGUGAAAGCCCUCGGCUCAACUGAGGAAGUGCACCCGAAACUGGCGAGCUUGAGUACGAAAGAGGAUCGCGGAAUUCCCGGUGUAGAGGUGAAAUUCGUAGAUAUCGGGAGGAACACCGGUGGCGAAGGCGGCGAUCUGGGUCGAUACUGACGCUGAGGUGCGAAAAGCGUGGGGAGCAAACAGG